rnacentral:rRNA from 1 species
ACGCUCGACACCUACGGGGGCAGCAGUAGGGAAUCUUCCACAAUGGACGCAAGUCUGAUGGAGCAACGCCGCGUGAGUGAAGAAGGUCUUCGGAUCGUAAAACUCUGUUGUUAGAGAAGAACACGAGUGAGAGUAACUGUUCAUUCGAUGACGGUAUCUAACCAGCAAGUCACGGCUAACUACGUCGCAGNNGCGNGUAUNGAGGCGGNNGNAG